rnacentral:rRNA from 1 species
CCUACGGGUGGCAGCAGUGAGGAAUAUUGGUCAAUGGCCGUAAGGCUGAACCAGCCAAGUAGCGUGAGGGAAGACUUCCCUAUGGGUUGUAAACCUCUUUUAUGCGGGGAUAAAGGUGUCCACGUGUGGAUGUUUGCAGGUACCGCAUGAAUAAGGACCGGCUAAUUCCGUGCCAGCAGCCGCGGUAAUACGGAAGGCCCGGGCGUUAUCCGGAUUUAAUGGGUGUACAGGGAGCGUAGGCCGGUCUUUAAGCGUGCCGUGAAAUUUUGUGGCUCAACCAUGGGAGUGCGGGGCGAACUGGAGACCUGGAGUGCGCGGAAGGCAAGCGGAAUUCGUGGUGUAGCGGUGAAAUGCUUAGAUAUCACGAAGAACACCGAUUGCGAAGGCAGCCUGCCGCAGCGUGACUGACGCUGAAGCUCGAAAGCGCGGGUAUCGAACAGGAUUAGAUACCCGGGUAGUC